GAGAAUAUAACUUAAUGGUAGAGUAUCAAACUUUUAAUUUGUAUAGUUUGGGUUCAAAUCCCAAUAUUCUCA
rnacentral:tRNA from 1 species